UACGGGGGGGGCUAGCGUUGUUCGGAAUUACUGGGCGUAAAGGGCGCGUAGGCGGUUCAUUAAGUUGGAUGUGAAAACUCUGGGCUUAACCCAGAGCCUGCAUUCAAAACUGAUGGGCUGGAGUUCUGGAGGGGAUAGCGGAAUUCCUGGUGUAGCGGUGAAAUGCGUAGAUAUCAGGAGGAACACCGGUGGCGAAGGCGGCUAUCUGGACAGAAACUGACGCUGAGGCGCGAAAGCUAGGGGAGCAAACAGG
rnacentral:rRNA from 1 species